rnacentral:snRNA from 1 species
GGGUGCAAAGCGAACGCCCUACCGCUGUGCUAUCGCUGCAUCCUUCCUGAAGCUGCGUGCUGGGUCGAAGAAGACGGCCUUCCUGAAAUAGAGACAGGCCAGUCUUUGGUGGAGGGUAUACAAGUAGCUGUGCUCCCCUGCUAGAACCUCCAAACAAACUCUCAAGGGUCUUUAAAUAUACAACUUUAUUUUUUUUCUCUUCUGAAUACAAAUUCCACUUAGAGGCAUGUCUCUUAAAAUG